rnacentral:rRNA from 1 species
AUGAAGCCUAGCUUGCUGGGUGGAUUAGUGGCGAACGGGUGAGUAACACGUGAGUAACCUGCCCUUGACUCUGGGAUAAGCCUGGGAAACUGGGUCUAAUACCGGAUACGACCAUUGCCCGCAUGGGUUGGUGGUGGAAAGCUUUUGUGGUUUUGGAUGGACUCGCGGCCUAUCAGCUUGUUGGUGAGGUAAUGGCUCACCAAGGCGACGACGGGUAGCCGGCCUGAGAGGGUGACCGGCCACACUGGGACUGAGACACGGCCCAGACUCCUACGGGAGGCAGCAGUGGGGAAUAUUGCACAAUGGGCGAAAGCCUGAUGCAGCGACGCCGCGUGAGGGAUGACGGCCUUCGGGUUGUAAACCUCUUUCAGUAGGGAAGAAGCGAAAGUGACGGUACCUGCAGAAGAAGCGCCGGCUAACUACGUGCCAGCAGCCGCGGUAAUACGUAGGGCGCAAGCGUUAUCCGGAAUUAUUGGGCGUAAAGAGCUCGUAGGCGGUUUGUCGCGUCUGCUGUGAAAGGCCAGGGCUCAACCCUGGUUCUGCAGUGGGUACGGGCAGACUUGAGUGAUGUAGGGGAGACUGGAAUUCCUGGUGUAGCGGUGAAAUGCGCAGAUAUCAGGAGGAACACCGAUGGCGAAGGCAGGUCUCUGGGCAUUAACUGACGCUGAGGAGCGAAAGCAUGGGGAGCGAACAGGAUUAGAUACCCUGGUAGUCCAUGCCGUAAACGUUGGGCACUAGGUGUGGGGGACAUUCCACGUUUUCCGCGCCGUAGCUAACGCAUUAAGUGCCCCGCCUGGGGAGUACGGCCGCAAGG